rnacentral:rRNA from 1 species
UACGGAGGGGACUAGCGUUGUUCGGAAUUACUGGGCGUAAAGCGCACGUAGGCGGCUUUGUAAGUCAGGGGUGAAAUCCCUCGGCUCAACUGAGGAACUGCCUUUGAAACUGUCGGGCUUGAGGCCGGGAGGGGGUAGCGGAAUUCCCAGUGUAGCGGUGAAAUGCGUAGAUAUUGGGAGGAACACCGGUGGCGAAGGCGGCUACCUGGACCGGUUCUGACGCUGAUGCGCGAAAGCGUGGGUAGCAAACAGG